ACCAAGGCAACGAUCCGUAGCUGGUCUGAGAGGAUGAUCAGCCACACUGGAACUGAGACACGGUCCAGACUCCUACGGGAGGCAGCAGUGGGGAAUAUUGGACAAUGGGCGCAAGCCUGAUCCAGCAAUACCGCGUGGGUGAUGAAGGUCUUCGGAUUGUAAAGCCCUUUUAGUGGAGAAGAUAAUGACGGUAUCCACAGAAAAAGCACCGGCAAACUUCGUGCCAGCAGCCGCGGUAAUACGAAGGGUGCUAGCGUUGUUCGGAAUCACUGGGCGUAAAGCGUGCGUAGGCGGUUUGGUAAGUUGUUUGUGAAAUCCCAGGGCUUAACCCUGGAACUGCAAUCAAAACUGCCUUACUGGAAUUUGGUGGGGGAUAGCGGAAUUCCUAGUGUAGGGGUGAAAUCCGUAGAUAUUAGGAAGAACACCGGUGGCGAAGGCGGCUAUCUACGCCAAUAUUGACGCUGAGGCACGAAAGCGUGGGGAGCAAACAGGAUUAGAUACCCUGGUAGUCCACGCCCUAAACGAUGAGUGCUGGUUGCUGGGGCCUUAGGCUUCGGUGGAAAGCUAACGCGUUAAGCACUCCGCCUGGGGAGUACGGUCGCAAGAUUAAAACUCAAAGGAAUUGACGGGGACCCGCACAAGCAGUGGAUCAUGUGGUUUAAUUCGAUGCUACACGAAAAACCUUACCAACUCUUGAAUCUGGAUGACCGGUGCAGAAAUGUACCUUUGGAGCAAUCUACAUCCAAGACAGGUGUUGCAUGGCUGUUGUCAGCUCGUGUCGUGAGAUGUUAGGUUAAGUCCUUCAACGAGCGCAACCCUCAUCCUUAUUUGCCAUCGGGUAAUGCCGGGAACUAUAAGGAAACUGCCCGCGACAAGCGGGAGGAAGGUGAGGAUGAUGUCAAGUCAUCAUGGCCCUUAUGAGUUGGGCUACACACAUGAUACAAUGGUGGUUACAGAGGGAAGCCAAGGAGCAAUCCGGAGCAAAUCCUUAAAAGCCAUCUCAGUUCAGAUUGAGGGCUGCAACUCGCCCUCAUGAAGUCGGAAUUGCUAGUAAUCGCGGAUCAGCAUGCCGCGGUGAAUACGUUCUCGGGUCUUGUACACACUGCCCGUCAAGCCAUGGAAGCUGUUUCUACCCGAAUCAGAUGAGCUAACUCGCAAGAGAGGUAGUCUGAUACGGUAGGGGGAGUGACUGGGGUUAAGUCGGAACAAGGUAGCAGUAGGGGAACCUGCGGCUG
rnacentral:rRNA from 1 species